AAACACCUCCUGAUAAAGACUUUAGUGGGAGUGAGCGAAACAGAGCAGGAGAUUUGGUGAAGAAAUGAGAGGGAGUUAAGGCCUGAAAGAAUCUAUUUUUAGGCUUCGGAGAGAAAUCAGGUGUCUAUGCCAGUGGAAAAGAGGGUGGGGGGGGGUAUGGAUGCAGUGACAUGAAGCAGUGCUGUCACUUUCAUUUUACAAGAUCCAUGUGAGUCAGAGUUGCGCCGAGAGCUGCGGGAGGAACGGCGCUGGAGCAAAACACAGGCGCAUAUAAAAUUACAGAUACAGUGGGAGUCAUAACGUCCUGAAGGCCGUGGCGAUAAUGAAGAACUGAGAUCCACCUGUGAAUUCCUGUCUGGAUGCUGCAGAAAGGAUCUCUGAAAAUGUUGCUGAUUAUAUGAGCUGAAAAUGCAUCAGCUUUGUUUGUCCAAAGCAGCUUUUCCUGCUUAAGAGCAAAGACAAUUCCUGGUAGAAAAAUAUUUUUUAAAAAAAGCCCAGAUCAAAAGGCCUGUCAGGCUUCUGCACAGAGGCAAAGCAGAUGACUGAGCAAAUAUUAGGAGUCCAUGCAACCCAUGUUCAUCCCAUCAGACAACGUGCAAAUUCUGCAAGUAUUUCAACAUUUCUACAGAAUUUGAAGAACUUUUUGAGUUUCCAAAACAAAAGUAGCACACACACGAAGCAUUUUUGAAUGUGCUGCAUUCUCGUUCACAUAAAUUAUUAAACAAGCCUUGUGCUAAAAAAAAAAAAAAAAAAAGUUACUUAAUGUUUUGCCAAGAAAUGAAAGUUCACAUGACAGUAAAGCCAGUGAAGAGCAAUAAAUGUUAACGCCAUGCACUUAUUGUAUGAGGUUAUGGACUAAUGUGUAAUCUGAGAUCUAUGUGUGUCUGCACAUUUGCAUAGUCUUCAACGUAAAUAGUCUCCAUUGGGCUUGGUGGAAAAUCCUUUCUGUGACUACGUGGCAUUUUCAAGUCUGUGGAGAUUUUUGCAAGACAAAUGUGAACUGAAAACACAAGUUAUUGAAGAAGCCCAAAUACAGGAUCUGAGUUGUGCUGGCAACACACAAGAAACAUUUCCUCUUUCUUACAGAACAUUUUGUUUGUCUAGAGAUAAACUACAAAUAUGCUAAAAAGUAUCAAACAGUAAAACAUUGACCUUUUAAUAAAAGUGUAAAGAAAAAUCCACCCAAAAAAAAAAAAAUCACUAAAAUACAGAAAAGUAUAGCCAAAAAAACACACAAGUCUAAACAAAAAUAUGGUAGCAAUUGCAAGGAGGAAGAACAUUCUUAAGAAAAUAGAUUUUACAAGAAUGGACCUGUCAUCAUUCUACCGAGCAGUAGAAGAUGUUCGUAAAAACGCUCUUUUUUUUCAGUAAAUUAUUCUCUGCAUGUGUUCAAUAUUUAACUGGCAAUUAAAAGGAGAACUAAAAAAAAUCUUUUUUUUUUUUAAAAAUAAAGUGAGCAAAAAGCUUUGCUUUGCAAAAUCUUGUUUAAAAAAAAA